rnacentral:lncRNA from 1 species
AAAAUACUGCCCCCUACCCAAGAGAGUUUAAGUGUAGAAGUAGAACUGAUUCAUCCAUCCUGUGCUGCUCUGCAUCGGUUGUCAUAAUGAGGGCUCUGUUUAGACUGACCCAGGAAAGAGUCCUCUCCUUGGGGAAGAGAGAGAGGAGAACCAUCCUGGAGCUCUACGGCAGCUCCACUCCAGCUCAGCACUGGUGUACAGACAGCGUGGACAUCACCAUGACCCAGUCAGAAAUGUCUUAUUUUUAAGAAAUUCACAUUACAAGUAUUCUGGAUGACACCGUGGAAAAGGAACAACAGUAAAGGUCAGCAUGCUGCACAAAGCUCACUCCAACCCACAAGUGCACACAUUUUCUUUUGACUUUCAAAAUAUGAAAUGUGGCGUCGUGUCUCUCUGUGUGUCCCCUGCAGGCCAUGGUGACCUCUGUGUGUGGCCUAGUAAAGUCUAGCCAGCACCAGCCACCUCAGUUUGUCCAAGUCCCCUUCCACCACUACAGCCAAGCCCUCCAGGCCACUAUACAGGCCCAUCAAAGGAAACAUGGACUACUCAUGUAGGCACAAGCAAAACAGAACACAAUAUUCUCCUUUGGGAAAAAUGUGUUCCCUUUGAUUUUCUAUUAUUGUUGUUUUUCAUGUAUUUUAUUGUGUAUACAUGAGAACAUUACAUACUAAAUAGGAGCAAUUACACAUUUAUUUACAAAAGGUUUAGUGGUCAUUUCAGAAGCAGUAUAACAUACAGUAUUCAACAUCAAAUGGAACAUCUUUCAAGUCAUAUUCACAGUAUCAAGAACAACAUAAGGGCAGGUAGAGUGUAUAAAAUACAGUACAUAUCUGAAAUAAUGUUAUUCAUGUUUUCUAAAUUGAAAUGAUCGGACAUACAUUGCAUUAUUCAAAACUGAUCCCUCCAUCGAAAGUACCUUUUGAGAACUACAGAUGUUAAUGUUAUUAGGAAGCGACCUGGAAUGCUAGCUAAGGACCACAGCUUGAGAACCGGUUCUACCCAACAUAUCUACCCAACACAUAUUCAUAUGAACACAAUUUUAGCUAGCAGGGUUGAGGUCAAUUCCAUUUAAAUUCUAGUCAAUUAAGAAAGUAAACCAUAUUCCAAUCCCAAUUUUUCCCAAUUGAAAAGCAUUGAAGAGAAUUGGGAUGUCAGUGUACUUCCUGAAUUGACUAAAACUGAAAUAGAAAAGAAUUGACCCUGGUAGUUUGGGGAGGCCUGUAUGCUACAUUUUAGUUAUCUUACAAUGGAGAAUAAGCUGCAGAGUAAAGAAA